rnacentral:tRNA from 1 species
GCCGAAGUGGUGGAACUGGUAGACGCGUUGCGUUCAGGGCGCAGUGUCCUUUAUGGACGUGGGGGUUCGACUCCCCCCUUCGGCACAA